UCUGGCUCUGAGAAUUCCUGCAGAGAAGAGCAGGGUGGCGAGGAGAUAGUGAGCAACUCCCAGGUGACAUGGAGGGAUCCAGAAUCUGGACAGAAGAACCACCUAGAAAUAACUCGGCAGAAUUCUGAAAAUGAGGUCACGCUGGAUUUUCCAAUCCAUAGGCCCAAAGUGAACUCCCACAUGGAGUAGGAGGAAAACCCACAGAGUCUAGAUCUUCACAUUCUGGAGAAAAGGAGAAUGUGAAAGACUGCUCAGUGGCUGGGGUGAGAGUCAAGUCUGGCCAGGUGCUAAUCUGGAGAAAGCCAAGACCUGGAGCUAGCUGGAGUGGCAGGCCCUGGAGGAUGAGAAGGUGGCAAAAGUGCACUGGGGAUACAAGGAAACCAAGAUUUUUCUGGGAAUUCUCAGAGGCCUGGAUCCAUGAAAAACUCCGCAUCGGCCAUUGAAACCACCAGGUGUACCAGAUUAUGGCUGAGCAGCUACAAGAGCAUGGCUUCAUGUGAACCCUGGAGCAAUGUUGCUAUCGGUUCAAAAACCUCCUGACCAACUACUGCAAAGUCAGGAGCACCUACACACUAGGCACCAGUGCCUUCUAUGAUGAGAUGGAUGCCCUGAUGAGUCCUUGGGCACUUGCUAACACCUUUGAUGCCUUAGAGGUGGUAGGAGGCCGCCUUCAGGAUUGAGAGGAUUCCAAAGGGAACCAGGGCAUAGCACUAGAAGAUGUGGUGGGAUGGUAAUGAAGUAGUGGAGUCUCAAGAAGAAUCCUGGAGCCUUGGUCCCCAGGCCUUGAGGUAGAAUCCCAGUGGCAACUCUCCCCCACAGUGGACCUCAGAGCAGUGGGAGCAAUGCAGUCCUGUGGGAAGCAUUCAGGCUCAGAAUCAGAUGUGAUUAUUGUCCUGGCUCUGCUACGACUAAUUUAGGUCUGGAAUGGCCUCAUUGGGGGAAAAUUUGGUGGCAACUUUAAGGGAAUACUGUUUAUAUCCUGUCCUCAAAUAUUGCUUGACUCAACCCUCUACUGAACCAGUAGUCCAGGGUGGCUCACAAAGACCACUUUGAGGCUCUUGCUCUGCCUAUAGCCAAGGAGUCUCCCUUCCUGCCUUUAGUAACAACAUUACAGGAACAGAGGAGAGAAAGGUAGGAGUUAAAAGUUCCAGUCAUUUGUUUCCAUCUAAAGUGCCCUAUAAGCCAGGCAUGGUGGCGCAUGCCUGUAGUCCCAGCUGCUCGGGAGGCUGGGGCAGGAGAAUCACUUGAGCCCGGGAGUUGGAGGCUGCAGUGAGCUGUGAUCAUGCCACUGCAUUCCAGCCUGGGCAACAGAGUGAGACCCAGACUCAGUUGAAAAAUAAUAAUGUUAUUAUUAAAAUAAUUUAAAAUAAAGUGUUCCAUAGAUGUGAA